GGGGGUGUAGCUCAUAUG
rnacentral:siRNA from 1 species